GCCCAAGUCAAAGAUGGCGCCGACCACGUGGUCGCGUCCAUCUCAAGCUCCGCCCCUCAAAUUUAUGCAAACGUACGUGUCGCGUCACGUCACGACGUCAAUGCACGCAAACGUUCUGGGGUCAGAGGUCACCCUCUAAUCAAUCAGAGCCCAGAGAGGGAUAUUUAAAUCCCUAAUUCACUCCAGUUCCUUGCCCUGUCGUUGUUUCCUGUUCCUGGUUCCUGAGAGUGCGUUUAUCUUUGUGAAUCUGAUUUCCUGGUAUCCUGAUCUUGGCUUUUCCCUGAUUAUUCCGAAUUCUGGUUUCCCCGACUUGGCUUGUUUAAAUGGUAUUUGAGUAUUUCUGGAUUCCUUGACCUCGGCUUUCCCUUUGACCAUUCUCUAUCUCUAGCGUAUUAGUCCGGCCAUUCUAAGGUCUGGUUUAUGCUCUGUCCUUUUAUUUUCCUUUUCUUUUGUAUGUGUAUGUUUACAUAGUUUCUGCGUGUUGGAUCACACUAGCAGCCGUGGCAAUCAUGUUUAGAAGAGGCUCCCUUCUGGGAUGACCGCCAUGCAGACCAAUUUGAUGUAGUGUGCGGCAUAGGG